AUACGGAGGCUGCGAGCGUUAAUCGGAAUUACUGGGCGUAAAGCGUGCGUAGGCGGUUUGCUAAGUCAGAUGUGAAAGCCCCGGGCUUAACCUGGGAACUGCAUUUGAUACUGGCAGACUAGAGUAUGAUAGAGGGGGGUAGAAUUCCUGGUGUAGCGGUGAAAUGCGUAGAUAUCAGGAGGAAUACCAGUGGCGAAGGCGGCCCCCUGGAUCAAUACUGACGCUGAGGUACGAAAGCGUGGGGAGCGAACAGGAUUAGAAACCCUAGUAGUCC
rnacentral:rRNA from 1 species